rnacentral:lncRNA from 1 species
UCUUCAUUUUCUUUCUUUUGUUUUGAGACCCAAAUAAUACCAAUGCAAAUAUAAGUUAAAGUCCGAGUCAGUCUUUUCCCGCCAUAUUUUAAAUCUCAAAUAUCUCGAAAAGGAGGUCCAUGACCUAUCAAUAUUUUUAGCUUAUCUUUAUCCUUAAUUGAUGCUCUACCAGCUUAAUGUAUCAAUUUUAAUUUCUUAAUUUCUUAAUUUUUACCUAACCUCACCUAAGUACAUCCUUAA